CAGGACCUUUUCUGAACUGUGUUGAAGGCAUAUUUUCCUUUCAGUAACCUCUCAUCCCAUACCUACGGUGGAUAGCAAUCAUUUGACCCCUGAUUCCUGCCAUAGGAAUGGGCCUGUGACCCAGGCUGACCAGCUAUUCCCUUGGACUUGG
rnacentral:lncRNA from 1 species